rnacentral:rRNA from 1 species
AGCGAACGCUGGCGGCAGGCUUAACACAUGCAAGUCGAGCGGGCAUCCUUGUGGUGUCAGCGGCAGACGGGUGAGUAACGCGUGGGAACGUGCCCUUCGGUUCGGAAUAACUCAGGGAAACUUGAGCUAAUACCGGAUACGUGCGAGAGCAGAAAGGUUUAUCUGCCGAAGGAUCGGCCAGCGUCUGAUUAGCUAGUUGGUGAGGUUAUGGCUCACCAAGGCGACGAUCAGUAGCUGGUCUGAGAGGGUGAUCAGCCACACUGGGACUGAGACACGGUCCAGCCCACUAGGAGAGGGACAAGGAGCGAAUCUCCACCGGAGGGAGGAAGGGGGAAGGAUCGACGAUGGGGGCAACCCUGAUCCAGCCAUGCCGCGUGAGUGAUGACGGCCUUAGGGUUGUAAAGCUCUUUUAUUCGGGACGAUAAUGACGGUACCGGAGGAAUAAGCCCCGGCUAACUUCGU